GUUUGCACUCAUCGGGGAAGGAUGAGAAGCUUCGACUAAGGUUCGACUCGAGCGCCAGCGAGAGAGCGUUGCCGCAGGCAACGACCCGAAGGGCGAAGCGCGCAGCGCUGAGUAAUCCUUCCCCCACCACCA
rnacentral:sRNA from 1 species